GCAAGUCGAACGAGAAGCCUGUAAUGAAUACUUCGGUAGGAUUUUUGGGUGGAAAGUGACGAACGGGUGAGUAACACGUGGGUGACCUGCCCUGGAGAGGGGGAUAACCAUUCGAAAGGAUGGCUAAUACCGCAUAACUCUAGAUACAUGGGAAUGUAAUUAGAGAAAGCUCCGGCGCUCUGGGAGGGGCCUGCGUCCGAUUAGCUAGUUGGUGGGGUAAAAGCCUACCAAGGCGACAAUCGGUAGCUGGUCUGAGAGGACGAUCAGCCACACGGGAACUGAGACACGGUCCCGACUCCUACGGGGGGCAGCAGUGAGGAAUAUUGCACAAUGGGGGCAACCCUGAUGCAGCAACGCCGCGUGGAGGAUGAAGGCCCUUGGGUCGUAAACUCCUUUUCUGGGGGAAGAGAAAGGACGGUACCCCAGGAAUAAGUCACGG
rnacentral:rRNA from 1 species